rnacentral:rRNA from 1 species
UACGUAGGGUGCAAGCGUUGUCCGGAAUUAUUGGGCGUAAAGAGCUCGUAGGCGGUUUGUCGCGUCUGCUGUGAAAACUCGGGGCUUAACCCCGGGCCUGCGGUGGGUACGGGCAGACUAGAGUGCGGUAGGGGAGACUGGAAUUCCUGGUGUAGCGGUGAAAUGCGCAGAUAUCAGGAGGAACACCGGUGGCGAAGGCGGGUCUCUGGGCCGUAACUGACGCUGAGGAGCGAAAGCGUGGGGAGCAAACAGG